rnacentral:SRP_RNA from 1 species
CCAACCCGGUCAGGUCCGGAAGGAAGCAGCCGUAACGAGUUUCGCCCGGGUCGUAUUCAACCGGUCUCCC